CGCGAAGAACCUUACCUGGUCUUGACAUGUACGGAAUAGCGCAGAGACGUGCUAGUGCCUUCGGGAGCCGUAACACAGGUGCUGCAUGGCUGUCGUCAGCUCGUGUCGUGAGAUGUUGGGUUAAGUCCCGCAACGAGCGCAACCCUUGUCAUUAGUUGCCAUCAUUAAGUUGGGCACUCUAAUGAGACUGCCGGUGACAAACCGGAGGAAGGUGGGGAUGACGUCAAGUCCUCAUGGCCCUUAUGACCAGGGCUUCACACGUCAUACAAUGGUUGGUACAGAGGGUAGCGAAGCCGCGAGGUGAAGCCAAUCUCAGAAAACCAAUCGUAGUCCGGAUUGCACUCUGCAACUCGAGCGCAUGAAGUCGGAAUCGCUAGUAAUCGCAGGUCAGCAUACUGCGGUGAAUACGUUCCCGGGUCUUGUACACACCGCCCGUC
rnacentral:rRNA from 1 species